ACAGCUCAGUAACACGUAGUCAAUCUACCCUCGAGUCUGGGACAACCUCGGGAAACUGAGGACAAUCCCGGAUAGGCGAUGGACGCUGGAAUGCCUCAUCGCCCAAAGCUCCGGCGCUCGAGGAUGGGACUGCGGCCUAUCAGGCUGUUGGUGGUGUAACGGACCACCAAACCUACGACGGGUAUGGGCAAUGGGAGUUGGAGCCCAGAGAUGGGGACUGAGACAAGGCCCCAGGCCCUACGGGGCGCAGCAGGCGCGAAAACUUCGCAAUGCGCGAAAGCGUGACGAGGGAACCCCAAGUGCCGUUGGUCUUUUGAUCGACGGCUUUUAGGGAGUCUAAGAAGCUUCCUGAAUAAGGGCUGGGUAAGACUGGUGCCAGCCGCCGCGGUAAUACCAGCAGCCCAAGUGGUGGUCGCGUUUAUUGGGCCUAAAGCGCUCGUAGCCGGGCUUGCAAGUCCCUUGUGAAAUCGGACGGCUCAACCGUUCGGCGUGCAAGGGAUACUGCGAGCCUUGGGAUCGGGAGAGGUCGGGGGUACUUCGGGGGUAGCGGUGAAAUGCUGUAAUCCCUGGGGGACCACCAGUGGCGAAGGCGCCCGACCAUAACGGAUCCGACGGUGAGGGGCGAAGGCUAGGGGAGCGAACGGGAUUAGAUACCCCGGUAGUCCUAGCAGUAAAGGAUGCGGGCUGGGUGUCAGGCGCCCUUCGAGAGCGCCUAGUGCCGUAGGGAAGCCGUUAAGCCCGCCGCCUGGGAAGUACGGUCGCAAGGCUGAAACUUAAAGAAAUUGGCGGGGGAGCAC
rnacentral:rRNA from 1 species